CCCCUUAGAGUUUGAUCAUGGCUCAGAAUGAACGUUGGCGGCGUGGAUUAGGCAUGCAAGUCGAGCGAGAACCCGCAGGGGGGACAGCGGCGAACGGGGUAGGAAUACGUAGGUAACGUACCCUCGGGGCGAGGACAGCCACGGGAAACUGUGGGUAAUACUCGAUAAACUUCCCAAUCAUUAUGGAAGGGGAAGCAAUGGGUGUGAUUCCACCUGAGGAGCGGCUUACGCAGUAUCAGCUAGUUGGUGAGGUAACGGCUCACCAAGGCUACGACGCUUAGGGGGUGUGAGAGCAUGGCCCCCACCACUGGCACUGAGACACUGGCCAGACACCUACGGGUGGCUGCAGUCAAGAAUCUUCGGCAAUGGACGCAAGUCUGACCGAGCGACGCCGCGUGUGGGAUGAAGGCCUUCGGGUUGUAAACCACUGUCAGAGGGGAUGAAGUAUACGAGAGUUAUCUCUUGUAUUUGACAGAGCCUCAGAGGAAGCACGGGCUAAGUUCGUGCCAGCAGCCGCGGUAAUACGAACUGUGCGAACGUUAUUCGGAAUCACUGGGCUUAAAGGGUGCGUAGGCGGUUAUCUAAGUCAGGUGUGAAAUCUCUCGGCUCAACCGGGAAACUGCGCUUGAAACUGGAUGACUGGAGGGAUGCAGGGGGUGUGUGAAACUUCCGGGUGGAGCGGUGAAAUGUGUAAAUAUCGGAAGGAACGCCAGCAGCGAAAGCGGCACACUGGCAUCUACUGACGCUGAGCACGAAAGCUAAGGGAGUGAACCGGAUUAGAUACCCCCAGUAAUCCUAGCCGUAAACACUGAACACUGAAGAAAAGGAAGCCUUCUUCCUUCCUUUCCCAGUAACGAAAGCGUAAGUGCUCCCGCCUGAGAGUAGUAUCGCUCGCAGCUGAUCCUCAAGUAAUCUGACGUGCUCAACAAGCGAUGCAGCAUGUGACCUUUACUUCCA
rnacentral:rRNA from 1 species